GAGGUAGGCACUGGUGGUUAAUGAAGUGUGCUCCAGUAAGGAGGAAUGUGUGUCAGGCCAGAAGCCCCGAGGAGGCGCUGACACAUUUUCCUCUGGAGAAGCAGGAGCUAGAGUCCAAGACCUGAGGAUUCAGUAAUUGAGUGUGUUUGAGCCCGCCUGGGGAGCUCUCCACAAAUACAGUUGUCCACCUGAGUCGCUGAGGAGGAUUAAAAAUAGCCCAGCAAGAUGUUGGCUUAUCCCUGAGAGAACAGAAUUAGUUGUCUGGAAAGACAGAGCGUAUUAGAGGAGGAUGAAAGGAGGGUAAUAACCAACCAGGGAAACAAGGGAUCCCUCUGAGCAGCCUGGCUGCACCACGGAGAGAGAUCAAUCUGUGGAAAUCCCAGCUGAAGCAUGGAAGAGAGGAUCUAAAUUUAGCUGCAGCCUGCCUGGGGCUCCUGAGUUUUGUGGCUGCUGGGGUAGUUGCUCAGAAGUUGAGCCUGCAUCCAAAGGCUGCAGGCAAUGCAGGAGAGCAACACACUCUGUUGUACUUCCAUGUACCUCUCUUGAGUCUUUGGGAUCGUGAAUUCAUUUGGUGGCUGUUAAAGAAAGAAAAAGCAGUAGUACAUACAAGGGAAGAGCAAGAGUUUGUGCCUCACAGAGGUUGCAGUCUGCACAGCGACGUCAAACAAGGGCCUGGAGGAACAAAGCUCUUCUUAUCCUCCCUUCACAGCUGGGUAACUGAAUUCUGUGAGAUGAAGCGAUUUGCCUGUGGUUGUGUGGGAAGUGGGGAGGCCAGGAAUGGAUCUGGGAUCUCAGGGGAUCCAAGUUCACAACCAGUUUCUUUCUGUAGCUCCAGACAAACCCCAUGAUUUCUCAGUGACCUGCUGUUUUGCCCUUGGCGUUCCCCAGCAGAAGAAUCAGCAGGUUGGCAUCUCUGCUGGAAACAAAUCAGUACAGCUCCUGCUUGGGACUGAGAAUGUGGAGUCUUUUCAAGAAAAAAACCAAAUCCUUGCUUCCUUUAGACACUGCUUGUUACCUUUUCUCAAGAGACAAUUUGUAGAUGCUACACUUAGGCCUGGAAGCAAACUAGAAACCUUGCUAAGGCUCCAAACUGCAAAUUACAGCAGAACACAUUGCUGGGGCUGAUAAAAGCUGCCAAGGACUCACGGGUUUGGAAAAGCCAGCAGCACUUGAAAAUUGAAUUCUUGAGCAGGAGAAUCUGCAGAGCUGUGACCAGAGGGAAAUUGCUGCUGCUUGCUGCAACCUGAAUUUGGUGGAAUCAACUCCACAUCAGCACUAGGACAGAACUCCUGCACAUUUUGUACCAAACUCCUGCGUGUUUUGCUCAGCACCCAAUCCACUGGAAGUAGGAGUGCCUGACUUCAGGUGAGGAGGGAACAGCAGGAACAGAUGGAUUCCUCAGUACCAGAGCCUGGUUUCCAUGCCAAUGGAGCCGGAUGAUGACAGAAAACGAGGAGUCAGACUCUGCUGACAAAGGCCUGAGCCCCUGAAGAAAGCAGAGAGAAGUCCCUACCAGCCCGGGUGGAAUGCGAAUGUGCCGCUGUUAUCCGCACGUUGCGCUCAGCUCGCCUGCCCCGAAAGGAGGAGGAGGAAGGCACCACAAUUUGCAUAUAAAUGAGGUCAGACCGGGUUCCUCUGCAGUCAUUAAGGCGGGUUUCUUACCCUGCUUGUUCUGCUCUCCCCACCUCCACCCCGCAGCUCCUGCCAGCCCAGUCUGCCCGCGGAUAGAAGCUCCAAGGCGCAGAGUCCUGCCCUGCCUCCCCUCUUGGGCUCUCAGGAGGGAUGGGGAGAGGCCCUGGAGCUUCUGCUUCCACUCUGGAGCUCAGCCGCACCCGGGGGAUGCCUGUGGUGCUGAAGUGAUGCUUCACCAGGAGGGCUUGCAGAGAGGGACGCUGAGGCACAGAGUGAAGGAGGAGGUGCUGGGUUGGAGGAGCAGAGCAGGGCUGGGGUUCACAGAAGCUGCUCCUCGCUUUCAUUGUGGAGAAUUCCCUUUCCUGAGCUCCAGCUGGAGGCCAGGCAACCGCUGAGGCUCAAUCAAACACCCCCUUUCUUCACUUGGGCCGCAGUAGAUCUGUACCAGCUCUAUGAAUUUUGAAAUUACUCAGACUUCCCAUGAAUUAAACCCGACCUAGUGUGAGGUGCAGGAUAAAACGCUGCUGAGUGGAGGAUUUAUAUCAUUUUACCCUCUGGAGGGGGCCCAGGAGUCAGCUGGAUCAGCUGGGAACAAGUCUGCUAAAAGGGAGUUAAAAGACUUUGAGUGGUUUUCUGUCUUGCUUUCUCUUUGGAACAAUCCCUGGAAAUAUCCAAAUGCUCUAUUAACAGCAUUUCAGAGUGCUUAGCGCUCCGAAAUUACUGGUGACUCUGCUUUGCUCUGACAAAUGAAGUGGGAGUGUGGGUCCUCCCCUCCUGAAUUAUUCACACCAAAAGGUAGUUUGAAGCCAAACCUCAAAGUUCCUAGAUUUGUUUUGAUUUUUUACAAAACGCCUCCAAUCAGCAGGCUUCUCUUAAGACAUGGAAUUUUCAUGAAAAUCAAAUUGCUUUGUUUAGAAAGAGUAGUAUUUUCUGUCAGCAAAGGUGU